rnacentral:tRNA from 2 species
UCUGUAGCUCAGUCGGUAGAGCAAGGGACUGAAAAUCCCUGUGUCGGCGGUUCGAUUCCACCCGG